UACAGGGGGGGCAAGCGUUGUUCGGAUUUACUGGGCGUAAAGGGCGCGUAGGCGGCUACCGCAAGUCGACUGUGAAAUCUCCGGGCUUAACCCGGAAAGGUCAGCCGAUACUGCGGGGCUAGAGUGCAGAAGGGGCAACUGGAAUUCUCGGUGUAGCGGUGAAAUGCGUAGAUAAUCGAGAGGAACACCUGCGGCGAAGGCGGGUUGCUGGGCUGACACGUGACGUGGAACUGCGAAAGCUAGGGGAGCGAACGGG
rnacentral:rRNA from 1 species